rnacentral:rRNA from 1 species
GUUAAGUUCAAAUGUCACAUCUCGCAGUUGAAACGCGCGAUAAGGUGACACUGAGUGCCAGCAUCUUAAGAGGGGGGUCCGCAUGUUUAAAAAGCAUGUGUUAGCCAGGGCUGGGCAAGACCGGUCCCAGCCGCCGCGAAAGCCCGCCAGCCCGAGUGUGUCCGUAGGGUCUAAAGGGCCUUAGCCGUUUUGACCAGCUUUUUGGAAAUCUGACACCUUACUUGUAAGGUUUCCAAAGAAUACUGUCAGAUUUGGAACGGGGAAAGGAAAGAGGUAUACCAGGGUUGGGGGUAAAUCUUUUUAUUCCCUUUGGGGCCCCCGGUGGGGAGGGGCUUUUACCAAAAGGGGCCCAAGGGGGGGAACAAAAGUUGGGGCCCCAACCGGAAUAAAAAACCCGGGAGGCCCAAGCGGAAACAUUGUCCCUUAGGGGUCGGAAAGGGGGGACCGUUUCUUGUGCCCGAGGGAAGCCCGGAAAGCGGCCCCCUGGGAAGGUCGGGCCCAAGGUUGAACCUAAAAGAAUUUGGGGGGGAAAAGGGGAAUUCUUUUAACCUUCCGGAAUAGGCCCUUUUGUGGAGGGUAAUUUCUGAGUUUGCGGAAUCAUGGGCUAACUGUUUUCCCGGAAAACAAAAAAGUAUUUUUGGGGGGGAAAUUUAAUUUCCCCCCAUAGGGAGGCGAAUAAAUUUGGGGGGCGGUUUUACAAA